rnacentral:antisense_RNA from 1 species
GCUUUCUCCCAGGUAGUGGCUGGGUGUAAAGCGAGCGUCGAACUGGUUGCAGCCGGUUCGGCGCUCAUUUUUUUCGUUU